rnacentral:rRNA from 1 species
CGGUUGAUCCUGCCGGACCCUACUGCUAUCGGGGUGGGACUAAGACAUGCGAGUUGAGCGUCUCUAAGCCAUUUAUAGAGACGCAGCGUACGGCUCAGUAACACGUGGCUAACCUACCCUUAGGACGGGGACAACCCCGGGAAACUGGGGCUAAUACCCGAUAGGCGAGGAGGCCUGGAAUGGUUCCUCGUCAAAAAGGCGUUGAAACCAUGCUUUUCGACGUCGCCUAAGGAUGGGGCCGCGCCCGAUCAGGUUGUUGGUGGGGUAACGGCUCACCAAGCCUAUAACCGGUACGGGCCGUGAGAGCGGGAGCCCGGAGAUGGGCACUGAGACAAGGGCCCAGGCCCUACGGGGCGCAGCAGUCGCGAAAACUCCGCAAUGCGCGAAAGCGUGACGGGGCUACCCCGAGUGCCGUCCGCUGAGGAUGGCUUUUCCCCGGUGUAAUGAGCCGGGGGAAUAAGGAGAGGGCAAGUCUGGUGUCAGCCGCCGCGGUAAUACCAGCUCUCCGAGUGGUAGGGAUGAUUAUUGGGCUUAAAGCGUCCGUAGCCGGCUUAGCAAGUCUCCUGUUAAAUUCAGCGACCUAAUCGUUGAGCCGCGGGAGAUACUACUAGGCUAGGAGGCGGGAGAGGCCGACGGUAUUCUCGGGGUAGGGGUGAAAUCCUAUAAUCCCGGGAGGACCACCAGUGGCGAAAGCUGUCGGCUAGAACGCGCUCGACGGUGAGGGACGAAAGCUGGGGGAGCGAACCGGAUUAAAUACCCGGGUAGUCCCAGCUGUAAACGAUGCGGGCUAGGUGUUGGGGUGGCUACGAGCCACUUCAGUGCCGCAGGGAAGCCAUUAAGCCCGCCGCCCGGGGGAGUACGGCCGCAAGGCUGAAACUUAAAGGAAUUGGCGGGGGAGCAC